rnacentral:lncRNA from 1 species
GGCGAGUGAACGAAAAGAGGGAGGGGUUGGCAGGCACGGGAAUAAAUGCACCGUACCCAUAUAGGAACACGUACGAUACAGCUGAUGUCGAGUUGAGGUGACAGGUACGUUUUCAUGUAUAGUGCCACUAGUAUAGUAAACAAAGAGGGAAAAAUUCAGGUUGGGGCAAGAGAUCUGAUAGCUAAGGGUGCCACACGUGUGCCGGUAAGUAAUUGCACGCAUGCUGACGAUCAUGGCCAUGCUUAGUCUUGUUUUUACAAGUGUCCUCUCGUUGGAUUACGCUAGCUGCCUAGUGGUUCUACGCCAUUGUUGACGGGUCAAGACCCGAUCGAGCGAGGCGGACCGGCCCCCCACCACUGCACCUGGACAGGGACAGCGAUUCAGCGAAGAAUGUUUCACUUUUCAGCUUGCAGGAAUAGUAUUCUCCGAUCAUCUCCCAUCAUAAGUCAUCUGAGCAUUGGACGGUAGAGAAUAAAAUAAGAAUUUUGUACGUUAUUUAUUUAAAAAUAUUGGAGGCAACACAUUAAUUAAUUAAAAAUCCAAGUGAGUAUAUAUGUAAGUCGACGGCAACCGCAAUGGACUUUGGAUCAUAAUUCAACCAUAUGGCAAAGUGAACUAUGCUUCGUUGGUUAGGUUUCUUAUGAUGGAAAAUUGUCCAACUUUGACUUGGGCCUCCCGUGGUAUUCCUUUACUCCUUAGGUUGGUCCUAUGGACAUUCCCCUCGGCAUAAACAUCGAUUUUAAUAUCUCCAUCAACCUCUCACCUCGUUCUCCAAUAUACCAUAGUACAAGAAAAUAAAUGAUACAUAUGACAAUAUGAGAUAUGAUAUGUGUUGAUGACCCUUAAAUACCAAAUCUGACCGUCAAUUCCCGCAUAAAAGAUGAGUAUCAAACAUAGUGGUAGGAGUUUAUUAUUAACUAUUUUAUAAGUGUUGGUGAAUAUUUGUAUGCAGGUGAUUAAUUAUCAAAAUAAAAGGAAACACACCUAAAAGGAGUAAGAAAACACACUCCCAACCAAUCAAGUGUAAGCACACGGAUUCAUUGACCCACAAACAGGGGUAAACCGAAUCAACUUCACGCCAAUCACCAUGUACCCACUUGAGGAGCCACCAGGAAGUGUACCAGACAAAAGGCGGUGCCCGGGGGUUGGCCAACCCCUGGUUCGGCUGACCUUCUAGUGGCUCCUCAU